CACGUAGGGCGCAAGCGUUGUCCGGAAUUAUUGGGCGUAAAGAGCUCGUAGGCGGUCUGUCGCGUCUGCUGUGAAAACUCAGGGCUUAACCCUGAGCUUGCAGUGGGUACGGGCAGACUAGAGUGCGGUAGGGGAGACUGGAAUUCCUGGUGUAGCGGUGAAAUGCGCAGAUAUCGGGAGGAACACCGGUGGCGAAGGCGGUUCUCUGGGCCUUACCUGACGCUGAGGAGCGAAAGCGUGGGGAGCGAACAGG
rnacentral:rRNA from 1 species